rnacentral:rRNA from 1 species
UACGUAGGGUGCAAGCGUUAAUCGGAAUUAUUGGGCGUAAAGAGCUCGUAGGCGGUUUGGUAAGUUGGAUGUGAAAUCUCCAGGCUCAACUUGGAGGGGUCAUUCGAUACUGCCAUGACUAGAGUUCGGUAGGGGAGUGUGGAAUUCCUGGUGGAGCGGUGAAAUGCGCAGAUAUCAGGAGGAACACCCGUAGCGAAGGCGGCACUCUGGGCCGGAACUGACGCUGAGGAGCGAAAGCGUGGGGAGCGAACAGG